rnacentral:rRNA from 1 species
UACGUAGGGUGCGAGCGUUGUCCGGAAUUAUUGGGCGUAAAGAGCUUGUAGGCGGUUUGUCGCGUCUGCCGUGAAAGCCCAGGGCUUAACCCUGGGUCUGCGGUGGGUACGGGCAGACUAGAGUGUGGUAGGGGAGAUCGGAAUUCCUGGUGUAGCGGUGAAAUGCGCAGAUAUCAGGAGGAACACCGGUGGCGAAGGCGGAUCUCUGGGCCAUUACUGACGCUGAGGAGCGAAAGCGUGGGGAGCGAACAGG